UGGGAAUGUGGAAGUCAGCCUGUCUC
rnacentral:piRNA from 1 species